rnacentral:rRNA from 1 species
GAUGAACGCUGGCGGCGUGCCUAAUACAUGCAAGUCGAGCGAACAGACGAGGAGCUUGCUCCUCUGACGUUAGCGGCGGACGGGUGAGUAACACGUGGAUAACCUACCUAUAAGACUGGGAUAACUUCGGGAAACCGGAGCUAAUACCGGAUAAUAUAUUGAACCGCAUGGUUCAAUAGUGAAAGACGGUUUUGCUGUCACUUAUAGAUGGAUCCGCGCCGCAUUAGCUAGUUGGUAAGGUAACGGCUUACCAAGGCGACGAUGCGUAGCCGACCUGAGAGGGGGAUCGCCAACACUGGAACUGAGACACGGUCCAGACUCCUACGGGAGGCAGCAGUAGGGAAUCUUCCGCAAUGGGCGAAAGCCUGACGGAGCAACGCCGCGUGAGUGAUGAAGGUCUUCGGAUCGUAAAACUCUGUUAUUAGGGAAGAACAAAUGUGUAAGUAACUAUGCACGUCUUGACGGUACCUAAUCAGAAAGCCACGGCUAACUACGUG